rnacentral:rRNA from 1 species
CCUACGGGUGGCAGCAGUGAGGAAUAUUGGUCAAUGGCCGUAAGGCUGAACCAGCCAAGUCGCGUGAAGGAAGAAGGAUCUAUGGUUUGUAAACUUCUUUUAUAGGGGAAUAAAGGUAUCCACGUGUGGAUAUUUGCAUGUACCCGAUGAAUAAGCAUCGGCUAACUCGGUGCCAGCCGCCGCGGUAAUCCGGAGGAUGCGAGCGUUAUCCGGAUUUAUUGGGUUUAAAGGGUGCGAAGGUUGUUUGUUAAGUCAGCGGUGAAAGUUUGUGGCUCAACCAUAAAAUUGCCGUUGAAACUGGAAGGCUUGAGUGUGGUUGAGGUAGGCGGAAUGCGUGGUGUAGCGGUGAAAUGCAUAGAUAUCACGCAGAACUCCGAUUGCGAAGGCAGCUUACUAAGCCAUAACUGACGCUGAAGCACGAAAGCGUGGGGAUCAAACAGGAUUAGAUACCCGAGUAGUC